rnacentral:lncRNA from 1 species
CCAUUUCUCAUUGAUAUGGCCAGCCAAAGCAGAACAAAGGAGGAAAGGAAAAAAUCAAGAACCCUAGGUGGGAAAAUUGAAGAAAAAGUGUGGGAUUUCAAGGGAUUAAGCUAAUAAAGGUAAAAUUUCUUGAUUUUGAAUUGUGAUUUACACUACCCAUGCUUUCUUUUUCAUUUUCCAUGGUUAGAUUUCAUGUUUUCAUGGUGAAUUCAUGGCUGGUUGGAAUGGGUAUGGAGAGAGAAUGAAGUUGGAUUGAUUUGAUUCUAAGUUAUGUUAGUGUUUUUAGUUAGUUUAUCAUGUCUAGAAACAAACCAACAAGAAAAAUUCAUUUUCUCCCAUUACCCAUCAUUGGCCGAAUUUUCUAGGGAGGAUAUUGUGGCUGAAAUUGAUGAUAUUUCAUGAUAUUUUGGUGAAAUUUGAUGUUUGGUAAGGCUAGAAAUUAAAUGGAAAAUUUUGGUGUGAAAAUCUGAAUUUUUGCUUAACGUAUAGACAUGUGUGAUUAUUGACCCGGGACUGAUAAAUUGAAUCUCAUUCACAGUCACUGAGGUAAUUUAGGUAUAAUUGGAGUGUAGAAAGUGAGAAGAAUUGAUUUGGAGUUAAAUUGGAGAUUUUAGCCGAUUAGACCGAGUAUAGUGUGACUUAGGUCGAAUAUCACAUUUAAGUGAUUAAUCAGACAUUUUGCAUUCCAUCGCAUGCAUUCAUUUAGAUUUAGAGAGCCUGAAAUAGUUUAUGAUAAAUUGACACAAUUUAUUGAAAUUCAUGUCACGUAUGAUGUAUAAGUGGUGAGCCUUGUAACAAGGGUAAAGAGAUUGUGCCUGAAGACCGGGAAUAGGAGUAUAUCGAACUCCUUGUAUAGUGAGUAACCUUACUAUCGUCUUAAUUAUCUAGAGUGGUUCUUAUUCGAUUUUGUGGAUUUUAUGAAAAAUGAGUUUAAAUGGGAAAUCUUUUUGUUUUACAAACAAAACGUGUUUAAAUAAAAUGAUUUUAUAAAUUGUCUUGAAAUUGAAUGAUGACUUUGAAAAUAGAGUAACUGGAGACCACUUGAGGUGUUGGAAUUUCAUGGUUUGAAUUGACUGGCUUAUGACAAUAUUUGCAUGAAUGGCUGAAUUGGUAUUUGUGUUGAAAUAUGUGAACUGUGUAUUUAGCCUUGAAAGGUUGUGAAUUACAAUAAUUGCCAUAUCAUGUUAUUGAAUUUAUUGAUUGGUGGGAUAAUGAUGAGCUUACUACAGUGGGCAGGUUUUCGUGGAUCAGCCUAUUAGAGGGGCACAGUAAACCCCAUUAUAUCUUACCUCAGUAUGAGAGGCACGGGUGGAUAACUCCUGAGGCUAACACUUCUAGAGUUCACUUCACGCCAAACUAUCACGUGAGGGUGAACUCAGCCAACGCCAAGGAACGACUAUGUUUUCAAAAUAAAAAUAUAAUUUAUGCGUACAUGACUUUUUAACAGCCUUGGCGGACUCUGUUGGGAUAUCCCUCGAUCAAGGCAUCCCUGAUAACUGAGUAUGAGAAUAAUUUUUGGCAUGAGCCAAGCUUUUUAGGAAAUCAUAAGCCUAGUUGUUUAUUUGGUUGAAAUAAGUUGAAAGGUAAUGAAAUUAUAGUAUAAUGAUUUAUUUUAAUUGUCUCCAUUUACUCGGUUUUAGAUAUUUUAGAUGGUAUUUGUUUACUCACUAGGAUUAUAUAAUCUCACCACCCUUCUUUCCACCCAUUUCAGGCUCAGGAUAGUGUGUAGAUAGCUGAUAUCGUCGAAGGCUAUAGUCGGCUUUACUACUCCAAAAACUGUAGGUUUACUACUUUUGUACACUUUUAUUCCUUGUGGGCCCACGAGUCACUGUAAAGUAAAUUUCAUAUCCCGGUUAUCUGUAUUGUAGUACGUAUGAAUUUAUUUAGCUUUUACAUUACAAAAAAAAAAUUUAAUUACCGAUGACUCUAUAAAUAUUGUUUUACAAAAAAUUAGAAUAUUUUAAUGAAUAUUUUUAUUUUAUUCAAAUAGUUGCAAUAUCAUUUUUAAUAAAUGCUUUAGACACUCAAAUUUAUUUUAAAUCAUGAAAUAUGUGUUUUUCACUCAUUUACUACAUUUUUAGUCGAGUUCGAAAAAUUUAGAGGAAAAAUGACGAAAACGCCCCUGUGAGGUGAAAAUUAUUUUUCCACGAUUUUGAAAGGAAAAAAGCUUACAAUUCUUUAAAAACAAGGUUUGCCUAUGAUUACUCACAAGGGAGAUGAGAAAAAUGGUACUAAAGCCUUGCGGGAUUCCGGUUGGCACUCCGGGUAACGAAUGUCUACCGGGACGUCGCGGGGGUUGUCACGAGGCUCGAGGGGAGUACCGGGUUGUGACAAAAGAGCUUCCCCAACACUUGUAUUUUUUCUUAUAGAAAGAUGGAAGAUGAGAAAAAAAAACAAAAAGAGUUCACUUGACUUGGGAUGUGAUACCAUAUACUUAAUAAAUUUUAUGAAAUAAAUGAGCCCACAACUGUUCAUGAUUCUUCAUCGCAUUUUCAAUCCACAACCGAGUCCAGCCCACAAUUGGUCAACUCAUCUUCAAUCCAUAGUCGAGCAAAGCUACCCUCCGAAUCAAAAUAGAUAGAGCAAGGAAUUGAAUGAGAAUAUGGAAACCAUUUUGAUCAUUAGCAACACUCUAGAGGGCUCCACAGCAUUGCUGAUUCGAAUGCUUGUAGCCUGUAAGAAGUGGAUAUAAUUGAUGAGCUCUCUCUUUUUAAAACUACAAGAAAUGUUACUUUCAUAAAUGACAUAUUGUUAAGAACUUUGAUCUCAAUCUAAUAAAAAUAUUUGAAACUCAACUUUCAAAUAUAUUUGAGCAUGAAUAAAUAGGUUUGUAACAAGGAAGAAGUUACAUGGUCGUCCACACGUGACCAAUUUAAAAAACAACUUUACCAAUUGCUUUUUAAUUCAUGUUUAAUGCAUUAUUUAAACGCAAUAUUUUAGCUUGAUUUUGCUAUGUUUGUAGUGUUUCCCUUAAGUGUUGUUUGUUUUGAUUAAGUUGCAUUUAAGUGGCUAAAUAAGUCACGUGAUCUUUCCUUGUUAGUUGUCGGGCACAAAAGCUAUGUAUUAAUUUCUAUGAUUUUUGUUGCCCACCUAUUAUCUUUCUUUUCAGUUAUUAAUGUUGAAUUACAAGUAAAUGUUUGUUAAACAUUGUAAGUGGUGUUUAAUUCUAAAAUGAAAUGGAAUCAAUAGCUGAGCAUUUUCUUUUUAUGUUUUUUAUUCUUCUGCUUCCAUGGUUUUCUUCUAUAAAGUCUCUAUUCAUCAUCCUUAUUGAGUUUUAGGUUAACUAGAAUUAUAGAUCUUAUUUGAUUAAGAUUCUUGUUUGUGUACAACUUUGAGUAAUUGUAUAAUUUUAAACUUCUUGUUCCACAUCGAGUCCUAAUCACAUUCUCCUUUGGACUUUUAUAUUAUAAAAGUGAAUCUCUAGGCUUUAGAAUUAUAAGUAGUGCUUUGAGAGCUCUAAAGAGGGAACACCUUGUAAUUCUGUCUUUUGCUCUAGGUGGAGUUAGAGUGGUUUGAAUUAGUGUUCUUGGGAAGUUAUUGAGAAAAGUGCGCACGGGAUCUUGGGUUGCUUUAGGGAACCAUAGAGGUCAAUUUAUUGUACUUUAAUUUUUCAAUAAUAGAAUAACAGUUUCACUCCGUGGGCAUAGGCAAGAGGUCGAACCACAUAAAUUCUUAUAUUUUUCUGUUUGCUUGAUUUCUCUAGGUUUUAUCUUUGUUUUUCUUAGGCAAUUUUCAUAACAAAUUGGUAUCAAAGCUUCAGGUUUGGUAAAUUCAAGAUUCAAUAAGGAUGUCGAAAGUUACUAGUUUUACAAAUUUUUCAAUUGAGAAGUUUGAUGGGAAGACUAGUUUCACGCAGUGACAGAGAAGGAUGAAAGAUCUCUUUGUGCAGCAAGGUUUGAUUUGUCCCUUGCUAGGAAAGAAGGAAGGGCAACUAGAUGACAUGAAAAAUGUUGAAUGGCAAAGUUGGAGCAAAUGUGUGUGAGCACUAUUCGGCUUUACAUUAGAGAUAACGUGUUUAACUGUGUUAUUGAUAAGGAUUUUGCUAUAAGGUUAUAGGCAAAUUUAGAGAAAAUUUACUUGGCGAAAAGUCUUUCUAACUAGUUGCAACUUAGGCAAAAGUUGUAUCGCUUAAAGAUGGAGGAGAAUGGAGACCUCAUGAAGCAUAUGAACGAAUUUGAUGGGAUCAUUGAUCAAUUGAAGAAGGUUGAUGUGAAGGUAGAGGAAAAGGAAAAGGCACUAUUAUUCUUGGCCUUGCUCUCAAACUCCUAUGAGGUAUUUGUGGAAUCUCUGAUACAUGGGAUGGAUACAAUAACGUUAGAACAAGCACAAGCAACAUUAAUGUCUUGUGAAGCUUGAAAGAAAAGUAAGGAAGGGGAUAGAGAUUCAAGUGGCUUGGCACUGGUAACUAAGGUUCGUAGAAAGAAGUCAACCGACAUGGGAUCUAAGGGUGGUAAGUCUAGAUCCAACAAUGUUCAAUGCUUUCAAUGCAAAAGGUAUAGACAUAUUAAAAGGGAUUAUCCUACAAAAGGGGAUGAAAGUAAUGAGAACAGAGGUGAGCAUGCUUUCGUUGCUGAAGGUGAUGAUUGUAAUGUCCUUACAAUUUUAGAAAAUAUGGAUGCAAAUUUUGAUUGGUAUUUAGAUUCUGUUUUUACCACUCACGUAUGCUAUCAAAAGGAUUAUUUUGAUUUACUUCAAGAAUGAGUGGUUAGGAAUUUAACUUUGGGCAAUAAGUCAAUAGUGAAAGUCGUGGGUCCUGGAAUGGUAAAAUCAAAAUGUUUGAUGGGAUUGUACGUUCUUUGGAUGGUGUAGCUUAUAUCCCAGAGAUACGUAAGAAUAUAAUAUUAUUAAGCUUGUUAGACUCUAAAAGGUAUUGAUAUUCUUCUUGUGAUGGAGUGGUAAAAGUCACAUAAGGCGACAUGGUCUUGAUAAAGGGGAAUUUGAAAAUAGUUUGUAUCAUCUAGAAUGUAAGGCCUCGAAGGGAUGGGACAGUGCACAAGAGAUGGUAGCUAUCCAAGUGAGAUUUCAUUUGUUGGGGAGGUGAUAAAAGGUUCCAAUGGUGUAGACGAUGCUGAAAGGAUGAAAAACCUUGUUAAUAAUGAAUCGAAAGGGUCGUCGAGGUUUCUUUUCGAAGUCAAUUAUUACCAUUGACUUAACGGCUACAUAGGUGCAUUGGCCAUUUUGUGGAAUCGAGUGUUGGACCAUGCUUGAUUUGGUAUGUGUGGUCGUGGUAAUUUUAAAGGCCAAUAGUUUGAAGAAUUGUUCAAGGUGUUGGAAAGUAGGUGGAGUUAGGAAGUUGCAAUUCGGUGCCACUGGUGGAAGAGGUUUAAGGAGUUUGAAUUCAUGUCUAAGGUGGAGAUUUGUUGAGUUUUAGGUUGACUAGAAUUCUAGAUCUUAUUUGAUUAAGAUUCUUGUUUGUAUACAACAUUGAGUUAUUAUAUGAUUUUAAACUUCUCGUUCCACAUUGAGUCCUAAUCACAUUCUACUUUGAACUUUAAUAUUAUAAAUGUGAAUCUCUAGGCUUUAAAAUUGUAAGUAGUGUUUUGAGAGCUCUAGAGAAGGAACACCUUGUAACUCUGUCUUUUGCUCUAGAUGGAGCUAGAGUGGUUUGGGUGAGUGUUCUUGGGAGGUUAUUGAGAAAGGGUGUGCAAAGGAUCUUGGGUUGGUUUGGGAAACGAUAUAAGUCAAUUUAUUGUACUUUAAUUUCUUAAUAAUAGAAGAAUAGGUUCACUCUGUGGACAUAGGCAAGAGGCCGAACCUCGUAAAUUCUUUUGUUUUCUAUUUGCUUGAUUUCUCUAGGUUUUAUCUUUAUUGUUUCUUGGGCAAUUUUCAUAACUAUCAUUUUUUGGAAAAAUUCUAAAAUCUCAACACAUAUCUGAUGUUGUUAAAAGUGCGAGAAGAAGGACUAGAAAGGUUAGUAAACAAUGCAAAAGAAAAAAAAAACAUCAGUAAGUAAACUAAGAAAGUCCUUCUCUAAAGCUCCGAUAGCCCCUAAGCUAAUGCCUCACUCCUUAACGAGCAUUUCAAGAAUAGGAACUCUUGUAAUUGUUGAUGAAUCUAAAGCUUACUAUCCUCAAGGCUUUGAGCAAAGUGUUAUAAGAUUUUAGAGAAAAUGGACAUAUAUUGAUUUUUAAAAACUUUUUGUCUUCUCAAUUAAAUCGAUGAUAUGUAAAUCCUCUCAUCUCUACUCUUUUGUAAAUCAUUUUUGAACACUGACAUUCCACACUUUUGUAAAUCAUUUUUGCACACUAACAUUCCACACUUUUGCAAAUCAUUUUUGCACACUAACAUUCCACAAGCUUGGGAUGAAUUGUGGUUCUUGGGUUCUUUUGGUGAUAUGUUACUAGACUUCUAUAUUCAGCUACAUUUAUCUUCUUUGAUGCUAGUUUUCUUGAGUUUAUUGGUUGAGUGGUUUCUUUUCAUCCGUAAACUGGUUCAACAUAAUAAAGUCCAAUUUUAAUGCAGAAUUCCCAUCUCGGUAUUUUGAGCCCCUAUGGGGUCACUUAUUUUUUGCAUGGUGGUAAUUCCAUUUGCAAGUUGUAAUAACCACCUUGGAUAAAGGUGUGUUGUUUGCUCUUCAUCAGCACUACUCUUCAUCAUCAGUGUUUUGAUCUCUUGACUCUCCAAAACUCUUUCUCGGGCAUUUAUUGCAUUGUACUUUCUACUAUUUUUGUGGCCAGUAACCUACGGGUGGACUAACAUAGAGUAGAGUGAUAUCAAAUAACACCAUUGAAGUGUCAACAAUUCCUAUUAAUUAUUCUACUUAUGUUAAAGUUUUAUGUAGUUAAUGAUGCUAAUGAAUCCACUAAUUUUUUUACAAUUUACUAAGAAGUUGCGUUAAAGACUCUAAAUAAAAGUAGAUUUAUUAAUGACAUCACUCAAAAAAAAUUUUGGAUCCGCCCCUAUUGGUAAUUGAUGUAAAAGUCAAGGCUUUGUUAUUCACUUUGUAGACC